UACGGGGGGGGCAAGCGUUGUUCGGAAUUACUGGGCGUAAAGGGCUCGUAGGCGGCCAACUAAGUCAGACGUGAAAUCCCCCGGCUUAACCUGGGAACUGCGUCUGAUACUGGAAGCUUGAGUAUGGGAGAGGGAUGUAGAAUUCCAGGUGUAGCGGUGAAAUGCGUAGAUAUCUGGAGGAAUACCGGUGGCGAAGGCGGCAUCCUGGACCAUUACUGACGCUGAGGCGCGAAAGCUAGGGGAGCAAACGGG
rnacentral:rRNA from 1 species